ensembl:lncRNA
CACAGUUACAACUCCUCCCCCAGCCCGUCCUCCCCCAGCUCGUCGGAACAUGGCAGGACAUGCACACUAAAGCCAAACGCAAACAGGCAGAGAUUGCUCAACACAAGAAAUCCCUGUCUGACAGUCGCAUCACCUUCAAAAUGAAGAACACAGUCCAGACAUCUGCCAGAUGGACGCCGUACAAUAAAGGUCUAUAGCACAUUCACUGACUACUGAACAGUGGAAUGAAGAGCAGAACGGUCAAUAGAGAGUCACCAUCUGUCCAGCCGGCUUAAAGACACUCAGAUGAAACAGGCGCCUCCCUGGAUCAAAGUCAUGGGGCCAGUGGGGGCCAGUGGGGGCCAGUGGGGGCCAGUGGGGGCUGUGUCCAGUGGGAAACCCCUGGGUGUUUCCUCGGACAACGCCCCCAGAUUGGCCCCGAGGACAGAGGAGGGUGAUGUUGUUGAGGGAAUAAUCCCUUCAUCAAAGCCAGCUGUGAGCCAGUCAGACAUGCAGACAGAGAAAGCAGGCUCCAUCACCUGUCAGCCUGGACUGCCCAGGAAACAGCUCCAGUGUCCACUGCCUGCAUGACCAACAUAACUCACAUGCCUGAGAUGUUCACCAUACGGUGGCACUGGCUAGAUGAAGCCAUGUGGACACUGGCAUACAGGGUGUCGGUAGCAGAGUGUGAGUCGUAGAGAUGCUGUAUUCCCACUCACAUUCUUGUCAUGUGUGAAUUUCUGAAACCCAAAAAUGUCCUCCUUAUCAAUCUUAAUGUCAAAGUGCAAUAUGUACUGAAGCUGAAUGUGAAACAGUGCAGGGAGAGGGCCAAGGUGUCAACUGAGUUCAGUUGAAUUACUGCAAUUAUAUAUCUUGCCUCUGGGGGGAAAAAAUCAUUUGAAACAGGUCCAGGAUAUCAAAGGGUGAUUCCAAUAUUCUCAAAAGGUACUUUGUUACGGGCACAAUCAGUUGUACCGCCCUCAUCUUUCACACGUUGAUAGGGUUUCACUAGCAGUAAGAAUUGUGUUCUCUAACUUCACUUAUACAAGCUGAACAAAGGGAUUUAGUAAUGUGGGGUCGUCUCCUUCAAGUAUCCAGACUUUAUCCAUCCCGUGCAUUAUUAUUAUUUC